rnacentral:ncRNA from 1 species
UUAAAGUUUAAUUUUAACUUAAAAAUUUAUUUAAUUUUUUAUUUACAUGUAAUUAAUAGGAGGAAAAUAAUAUAGGUUUUAAUAAUUUAUGUUAAUAAAUUUAAUCGCAGUAUAAGGUUUUAUUGAUUUAAGAAAUUAAGAAUUAUAAAUAAGUUUAAAUAUUAACUAAAUUUGUGCCAGCAGUUGCGGUUAAACAGGAAAUAUAAGUAAAUUAUAUUGGUUGAUAGAAAAAGGAGGAUUAAAAAUAUUUAAAAUUAAAUUUAUUAGGUGAAAUUAAAAAAUUUAAAAUAAUUAUUAUAUUUGUUCUUGAUUUUAUGAAAUUUUUAAUUUAAACUAGGAUUAGAUACCCUAUUAUAAAAAAUGUAAAAAUUUUCAUCUAAGUAGUAUUAGUUAAGGUCUAGAAAUUUAAAAAUUUUGGCGGUGUUUUAGUCUAUUCAGAGGAACCUGUCCUAUAAUUGAUAAUCCACGAUAAAUUGUACUUAAUUAAAAAAUUUGUAUAUCAUCGUUAUAAAAUAUUUUAGAAGGAUAAAAUAUUUAUAAUUUUUUAUAAUAAAAUAUAUCAGAUCAAGGUGCAGUUUAUAUUUAAGAAGAGAUGGGUUACAAUAAAUUUAUUUAAAUGGAUUUAAAUAUUAAAAUUUUAAUGAAAGUGGAUUUGAAAGUAAGAUAAUUAAAAUAUUUUAUUUGAUUUUAGCUCUAAAAUGUGUACAUAUCGCCCGUCACUCUUAUUAUAAAGUAAGAUAAGUCGUAACAAAGUAGAUGUACUGGAAAGUGUAUCUAGAAUGA